AUAUAUAUAUUUUUUUUUAUAUAUAUGGGGGAAAGGAGUGCAGGCUUUGAGGACCUUCCAGCUUAUUUCCCGACAGUUUGCUGCUUCCUCGCUCAACUUUUCACUUUAUGUUUAUGUUGUGUGUUGUGGGCUGUGACGUUGGCCACUGACACUUGGCUCCUGUUGCCGCUUUUCCUGUUCUUCCGGCUUUUCGUGCUGCUGCUGUUACUGGUGCUUUUCCGGCUCCUGUCGCCUGUCUCGUUCUUUUCACAAGCGGAUGUGACCGGAGUGGUGGCACCUGGACACGAUGGGUGUUAAAAUAACAGGCACCGAACAUAUUGACUUUUAAAAUAAGCAGCAUGGCGGUAAAUUUUUAUGAAACCCCCACACCUUCCUUCUCCAAUAUCUUUCUUUGCUCGGUGGCCAUUCGAAUCAGCUUUUACCUUGGCCCUGUUCCGGCCGACGGAUGUGCAAAAUGCGAAAAAUUGAGCAUAUUACAAGCUCGGACUCAGACCCCGUAUCCAUGUCCAUGUCCAUGUCCUUGUUCAUGUCCAUGUCCACGUGUGGUUGGCAAUAAUUGUUAAAGUAAGCGGUUGGAAGGAUGCAGGCCAAAUGAUGAAGUGGCCACCAGACUGGAGCUUUGCCUUAUCUGACAAGAUCGAGAGUAUUUCCAACUUUUCAGAGGUGCUUGAUGGUUAAUGAAAGAGCAAUGACAGAUGAUAACUAGCCGGGUAAAUUGUCAAUCCUAUUUUAAGCAAGCAUAUGAAGACUGGAUUCAAUUAAAGUAUGUACUUUACUAACUAAAGUAUAUCUUUAGUUGAAGACCAUAUUUAGUCAA